UUAAUUGAAACCAAUAUUAUAUAGGUAAAUUAUUGUUAAUAAUUUUGUAGAAAUUUUUUUCCAAUUAAU
rnacentral:tRNA from 1 species